rnacentral:rRNA from 1 species
CAAUAGCGUAUAUUAAAGUUGUUGCGGUUAAAAAGCUCGUAGUUGGAUUUCUGCCGAGGACGACCGGUCCGCCCUCUGGGUGAGCAUCUGGCUCGGCCUGGGCAUCCUCUUGGAGAACGUAGCUGCACUUGACUGUGUGGGGCGGUAUCCAGGACUUUUACUUUGAGGAAAUUAGAGUGUUUCAAGCAGGCAUACGCCUUGAAUACAUUAGCAUGGAAUAAUAAGAUAGGACCUCGGUUCUAUUUUGUUGGUUUCUAGAGCUGAGGUAAUGAUUAAUAGGGAUAGUUGGGGGCAUUCGUAUUUAACUGUCAGAGGUGAAAUUCUUGGAUUUGUUAAAGACGGACUACUGCGAANGNAUUUGCNAAGGAUGUUUNCAUUG